rnacentral:rRNA from 1 species
ACCUACGGGGCGCAGCAGUCGGGAAUAUUGCGCAAUGGAGGAAACUCUGACGCAGUGACGCCGCGUAUAGGAAGAAGGUUUUCGGAUUGUAAACUAUUGUCCACAGGGAAGAAAAAAGACUGUACCUGUGAAGAAAGCUCCGGCUAACUACGUGCCAGCAGCCGCGGUAAUACGUAGGGAGCAAGCGUUAUCCGGAUUUAUUGGGAGUAAAGGGUGCGUAGACGGGAUUACAAGUUGGUUGUGAAACCCCUCAGAUCAACUGAGGAACAGCAACCAAAACUAUAAUUCUUGAGUGCAGGAGAGGA